rnacentral:rRNA from 1 species
ACAAGCAGCGGAGCGUGUGGUUAAUUCGAUGUUACACGAAGAACCUUACCUGGGUUUGACAUGCUAGUGGUAAUGAAGCGAAAGCUAAGUGACCCGCAAGGGAGCUAGCACAGGGUGCUGCAUGGCUGUCGUCAGCUCGUGUUGUGAAAUGUUGGGUUAAGUCCCGCAACGAGCGCAACCCUUAUCCUUUGUUGCCAGCGGUCCGGCCGGGAACUCAAAGGAGACUGCCAGUGAUAAACUGGAGGAAGGUGGGGAUGACGUCAAGUCAUCAUGGCCCUUACGACCAGGGCUACACACGUGCUACAAUGGCGCAUACAAAGAGAAGCGACCUCGCGAGAGCAAGCGGACCUCAUAAAGUGCGUCGUAGUCCGGAUUGGAGUCUGCAACUCGACUCCAUGAAGUCGGAAUCGCUAGUAAUCGUGGAUCAGAAUGCCACGGUGAAUACGUUCCCGGGUUUU